rnacentral:lncRNA from 1 species
AAAGUUUGGAAUUUACUUAUAUAUUUUUGGAAGUUUAGGAUUAAAGGUGAUAUAAAAAUGGAGUUAGAGGACUUUCCUUGCAGUUUUUGAGUAAGUGGAAUUUAUAUUCAACAUUUGACCCAUUUUUCACUCAAAAUCACACACACACACACACACACAGAGUGAGAAAACGGCAGCAAGCUGGGACCGAAAAAGAGAGGAAAAAUUAGGGAAAAAAAUGGAAGAAAAAGGGAAAGAAGGAAGGAAAGAAGAAAAGAGGUAAGGCUAAUUUUUUCAAGCUUGGGUUGAAUUUUUCCAUUUUUUUCAAGUGAUAAAGUAUGAAUUAUGUUAAAAUUCUAGGGUUUUAUUUUGGCUCGAAAUUUUCAGAUUUUUUUGAGAGGAAUACUACUUGGAGCCCAAGUUAUUGAUUCUUGAAUUUCUAUCUACAUUAAG